CCCGUUAACCAGGGGUGUAUUCCAGAAAGCUGGGUUAACUUACCAUCUGACUAACCCUGAACUCUGGGUUGAUUAACCCAAAACCUGGUUACUCAGGGUAUGUCGGUUCCAAAACAUGUAUGUCGAGUUAGUUUAACCAAGCUACUGCUAAUAACCUCGAGUUAAUGCGCGCGCACGGCGACCAUAUUAAGCCAUUUUUAAUGGAAUGCCGAAUUCAAGAGUCACCAUGGAAAAGUCACAUGCCGCGUACUUCUCCGAAGCAUAGUUCGAAGUUUUAAUGUUGGCUUAUGAGGAGUUCAAGCCAAUUAUAAUGAAAAAAAGCAAUACAGCUGCAUAUGCGAGGGAAAGACAAUUGGCUUUGCAAAAAAUAACUAACCGAGUAAAUGCGUGUUUUUUUUUUUAUAAAUAUGCUUGCCUUUCUUUUGUUAAUUUGCAAAGUUGAACAAUUGUCUUUUUGAGCAUGUGGCAUGACUUGACAGGCAUUUACUUUUCUCUACAUCAGUUGCUUAAGAAUACAGUGCAAUGUAUAUUGACAAGAAAUAUUUAAGCCUCUUGUUUUAUAAGGUGUAUUCCUUUUGGAGCCAAAAUAAAUUCAAAAUGAAACACAAAACAUUCUUCAAAAAGUUAAUAUUUUAUUUUAACUGUUUUAAGAUCAAUGUCUUGAAUAACUUUUACAGUAUUCUUCCUAUAUAGCUAAUAGAAAGAAGGCUGGGGCCUGUCUAACUGGCGGGGGUCCACCUCCACCUCCUCUCACCCCAUCUGAGGAGUUGGCUCUGUCACUUAAUAAAGGUCGCCCUGUGGUUGAUGGUAUUCCAGAGGGCACUUCGUCAGACUUUGCUUCCUCCCAUGACAACUCAAGUGACUUGGUACAAUGAUGAUGAUGAAUAGACCAUAUCUGCUGUGACUGACUUAAAAAGUGCUGGGAGACCCACAGAGGUAUGAUGCAUAUACUGGACAAUGCAUAGCUUUUUAGAUGGAGUGAAAAAUGUCAUUUGUCUUGUCACAGAAUCUAGCUGGGGAUGUACAUGCAGAUGAGGGUCCAUCUACCUCGACAUGUAGUCUUAGCAUUGUAAGAACUUGUCCCUGGUUGUCCUUAUUUACAUAAUGUUACAAUGUAGCAGGUUUUCUUUAACCGUCUUAUUUACUUUGCCUUCUUAGUUGUCUGCAAAGGAGCUGUAUAAUGUCAAUCUAUUAAGGCAAAUAAUAAAAAAAAACUGAUAUGGACCUUAUACAGCUUCAGCUAGAGGAGAAAAGGCUGGCCAUUUUAAAAGACAAAACUUGAAAUCGAACUACUGGAGCAUCACCUUAAGGUGAAAAUCAUAUGUGAACAUAAUGUAAAAUGUAAAGCAAUAAAUACAAAUCUGUCAUGUCUCUUUUAUUUCAGGAUAUUAAGAAAUAGCACAUUCAAUAAAGUGAUUUUGACAAAUUAUGUCUCUAAGC